AGAGUUUGAUCCUGGCUCAGGACGAACGCUGGCGGCGUGCUUAACACAUGCAAGUCGAACGGAAAGGCCCUUCGGGGUACUCGAGUGGCGAACGGGUGAGUAACACGUGGGUGAUCUGCCCUGCACUUUGGGAUAAGCCUGGGAAACUGGGUCUAAUACCGAAUAGGACCACAGGACACAUGUCCUGUGGUGGAAAGCUUUUGCGGUGUGGGAUGGGCCCGCGGCCUAUCAGCUUGUUGGUGGGGUGAUGGCCUACCAAGGCGACGACGGGUAGCCGGCCUGAGAGGGUGUCCGGCCACACUGGGACUGAGAUACGGCCCAGACUCCUACGGGAGGCAGCAGUGGGGAAUAUUGCACAAUGGGCGAAAGCCUGAUGCAGCGACGCCGCGUGGGGGAUGACGGCCUUCGGGUUGUAAACCUCUUUCACCAUCGACGAAGGUCCGGGUUUUCCCGGGCUGACGGUAGGUGGAGAAGAAGCACCGGCCAACUACGUGCCAGCAGCCGCGGUAAUACGUAGGGUGCGAGCGUUGUCCGGAAUUACUGGGCGUAAAGAGCUCGUAGGUGGUUUGUCGCGUUGUUCGUGAAAUCUCACGGCUUAACUGUGAGCGUGCGGGCGAUACGGGCAGACUUGAGUACUGCAGGGGAGACUGGAAUUCCUGGUGUAGCGGUGGAAUGCGCAGAUAUCAGGAGGAACACCGGUGGCGAAGGCGGGUCUCUGGGCAGUAACUGACGCUGAGGAGCGAAAGCGUGGGGAGCGAACAGGAUUAGAUACCCUGGUAGUCC
rnacentral:rRNA from 1 species